AUUCCGGGGUGGGUUCCUGCCGGAGGCCAUUGCUAUCGGAGUCCGAUUUAGCCAUGCUAGUCGUGCGAGUUCAGACUCGCGGCACCGAGCUCAGUAACACGUGGCCAAACUACCCUACAGAGACGGAUACCCUCGGGAAACUGAGGUUAACCCGUCAUACCGAUCUCAGGCUUGAAUCGCAGAGAUCACAAAAUGCCCCGGCGCUGUAGGAUGUGGCUGCGGUUGAUUAGGUAGACGGUGGGGUAACGGCCCACCGUGCCCAUAAUCAGUACAGGUUGUGAGAGCAAGAACCUGGAGACGGAAUCUGAGACAAGAUUCCGGGCCCUACGGGGCGCAGCAGGCGCGAAACCUUUACACUGCACGGAAGUGCGAUAAGGGGAAUCCCAAGUGCGAGGGCAUAUUAGCCCUCGCUUUUCUCGACUGUAAGGUGGUCGACGAAUAAGAGCUGGGCAAGACCGGUGCCAGCCGCCGCGGUAAUACCGGCAGCUCAAGUGAUGUCCCAUAUUAUUGGGCCUAAAGCGUCCGUAGCU
rnacentral:rRNA from 1 species